rnacentral:rRNA from 1 species
UGGCGGCGUGCCUAACACAUGCAAGUCGAACGAAGCACUCGCCGAUGAAGAGGAGAGCUUGCUCAAAUCGGAAUCAAUUGAGGUGACUUAGUGGCGGACGGGUGAGUAACGCGUGGGUAACCUGCCGUAUACAGGGGGAUAACAGUUAGAAAUGACUGCUAAUACCGCAUAAGCGCACGGUAUCGCAUGAUACAGUGUGAAAAGCCGAGACGGUAUACGAUGGACCCGCGUCUGAUUAGCCAGUUGGCAGGGUAACGGCCUACCAAAGCAACGAUCAGUAGCCGGCCUGAGAGGGUGAACGGCCACAUUGGGACUGAGACACGGCCCAAACUCCUACGGGAGGCAGCAGUGGGGGAUAUUGCACAAUGGGGGAAACCCUGAUGCAGCGAACCGCCGCGUGAGCGAAGAAGUAUUUCGGUAUGUAAAGCUCUAUCAGCAGGGAAGAAAAUGACGGUACCUGACUAAGAAGCUCCGGCUAAAUACGUGCCAGCAGCUGC